rnacentral:lncRNA from 1 species
AGUACAUGUAAUUAUAAUAUAUAAUUAUAAAAUAUGAUACGUUACCCUUUCCCCACUAUUUGUGUGGCCUGCUAUCCUGCCUUUAGGCGUUUACUCCAUUGUCAUCUCCUCCUCAGAGAAACCUUUCCUGACACUUUCUAGGAACACUUUGUGUCUCCUUAUUUUGCUUUACUAUUUUUCUUUAUUGCACCUAUCACCAUCAGGCAUAUUAUAUAUUUGUUUUUUAUUUCAGCCCCACCAGGGCAAGAACUGUUAUUUUGUUUUACAGUUUUAUCUCCACCACCUAGAAUGGUAUCUGGCACACAGCAGGCACUCAAUAAAUGUUUCUUGAAGCAAUGAAUAAUAGUACUGCCAGUGGACAUUCGCUCUGUGUGAGCCAAAUGCAUGUUUAUGGCUGGGGGUGGGGUGGGGGGCUUUCUCGGUUCUCUGAUUCCUGGCAGUGAUUUCACAGCCUUUCCCCUGGCAGCCCCCGCACCCAGCACUGUGACCCGGAGCACUUCCCCUUCCCUGCCCCAGCCAAUGCCCCCCUACAGCGCAUCCGCUCCACGUCCACUCCCAACGUCCAUAUGGUCAGCACCACGGCCCCCAUGGACUCCAACCUCAUCCAGCUCACUGGCCAGAGUUUCAGCACUGAUGGUGAGUCCCCU